rnacentral:rRNA from 1 species
UGAUGCAGCCAUGCCGCGUGUGUGAAGAAGGCCUUCGGGUUGUAAAGCACUUUCAGCGGGGAGGAAGGCGGAGAGGUUAAUAACCUCAUCGAUUGACGGUACCCGCAGAAGAAGCACCGGCUAACUCCGUGCCAGCAGCCGCGGUAAUACGGAGGGUGCAAGCGUUAAGCGGAAUUACUGGGCGUAAAGCGCACGCAGGCGGUCUGUCAAGUCGGAUGUGAAAUCCCCGGGCUCAACCUG